rnacentral:lncRNA from 1 species
CUUGUAUUGGUAUUUUCUCUUCGUACUUUUUCAGAUAUUUAUGCAUGGUUCUAAUAGUGAUAAAGUAACGAAAGUUUUGUAACGGAUAAUCUCUAUAUGGGUUAUGAAGAUAUGCGAUAUCAAAGUUGUAAAAAUUGUUACACGAUGUAUGGUAUUGAGCCAUGCUUGUUCUCAUACACUAGUUUACAUACGUCGAAACUUCUUAGGUCUAGAAAAUACUUAAAAUGUCAAAAAAAAAAAAAAGCAAUUGAGAAAAAUGAUGAAAGGUACAUGCUUGUGGGAUAUUUUGUACCUUACAAUUGGGAUGAGGACAUCAAACUUGCGAGAGAUGACCUUUCUCUAUUAAAUGAGAAGAUACUUGCAAAGUAUUUUUAAAAACUUACCUUGUUGAAUGAAAGCGAUAUGCUUAUGGGGGAGAUUAUAUGUAUUGGGAAUAAUUUCAACAAUGGGGGUACAAUCCAUUUGAAGGAGUCAAUGAAACCGACUUGUCAUCGUCCGUGGAUGUAAAUUAUGGACCGCUCAUUCAAUUAGAUGAAAUAUCAAUUAUUGAAGAAGAGCUUGAAGAGAGCAAAAAAUCAAUCACGGCGGAGCUAAACGAAAAUAUAGCAAUCAAUGAAAGAGAAAAUCAACUUACAUUUUUCCCACUACAUUGAUUGCUAAGAAAUUGAUUUUAUGAUUAAACAUGUCAAGGAGAUAGAAGUCUUCAUAGUUAAAUUUGAAGUGGAUGGAUUAGGCAAGUGAUCUUAUAUGGAAAUUGCCAAUGUUGAGUUUUGGAGAUUAAACAAAACUGGAACAAAGCCAAACAAAGAAAAACGGACAAGGCAUCUAAAGCCUUCUUGAGAUGCCCGUGAUUCAAUUGACAAAGUCGAGUUAAAGACUUUGAAAAAGUGCUUAUUGGGAUGCAACCCAAUUUUUUUUUAACUUUUAAGCUUUUUUGUUUACUUGUAUGUAUUUUCAUGCGUUAAUUUAAUUAGCUAUCAUUUUUUAUAGGUAAUUUUGAAGUCCACAUAUCCAUACUUUCUAACAAGUUUUGGGGUAAAUUGUGUACAUGAAUGACACUUGUCCAAGUUUAUUAAAAGCAUAACUGAUCCAAGUAGAGCAUUGGUACCUCUUUACCAAAUUUUUGAUCGAGAAAGUUUCGUUACCCUAUCUUCUAUUUUAUCUUGUUCUUUAGACACUAAGGACAAUUUGUAAUUUAAAUUUUGGGGUGGUUGUGCUUAAAUUUGUGAUUUUGUUUUUACAUGUUAGAUAAGCCUUGCCAGCUUAGGAUUGUUUGAUGUUUAAAAUAGUUAUUGAUUCAUGAGUUAUGUAUGACUAAAUAUGCUAUUUGUGCUUGAACUUUCUGAAAAAUUUUGUUUGUUCAUGUAAGAUUUCAAGUUAAUUAUUAUAAAGAUGUGGAAAAUUUUGAUUGAUGGAGAGAUUUUUUAUUUGGUAGAACUAGGUUUGAGUUGUAUUUAAAUGUCUAUCAAUCCUAUAGUAUCUGCUCUUUCACUUAAUCUUGUUGUGAGAUAAACUUGGGGUGAUCGAGUUAGUGAAGGAUAUUUCUAGAAAGUGUUGAUUCCGUGCAUGUUUAAAAAAAAAAUUGUGUGGAACGUCUUUUUCUAACAAGUAUAAACUAGGUAAGGACCAUACGCUAGGGAUCUAAGUCUCAUCUGUUAAGUCGUGAUUAAAAGAAUGAUAUUGCUCUUAUUGAAUCUUAAAUCUCAUUUCAUAGCCUUUUUUACUCAAGUAGGUUUGAAUUACUUAGUAGAAACUUUAAUGUGGAAGCACUCAUUAGUAGAGAAUCAUCAUAUGUCUAGAUGUUGAGAUUGUCGGAAAAGAAAUGAAUAACCUUUAGAUUUACACCUGGG